AGAGUUUGAUCCUGGCUCAGGAUGAACGCUAGCGGCAGGCUUAAUACAUGCAAGUCGAGGGGCAGCAGGGGUAGCAAUACCCGCUGGCGACCGGCAAACGGGUGCGGAACACGUACGCAAUCUACCCAAAACUGAUGAAUAGCCCUCCGAAAGGAGGAUUAAUACAUCGUAACAUUAUAGAGUGGCAUCACUUUAUGAUUAUAGCUCCGGCGGUUUUGGAUGAGCGUGCGGCUGAUUAGGUAGUUGGCAGGGUAACGGCCUACCAAGCCUACGAUCAGUAACUGGUGUGAGAGCACGACCAGUCACACGGGCACUGAGACACGGGCCCGACUCCUACGGGAGGCAGCAGUAAGGAAUAUUGGUCAAUGGACGCAAGUCUGAACCAGCCAUGCCGCGUGAAGGAUGAAGGUCCUCUGGAUUGUAAACUUCUUUUAUAGGGGAAGAAACCCGGAAAUUCUUUUCCGGUUGACGGUACCCUGGGAAUAAGCACCGGCUAACUCCGUGCCAGCAGCCGCGGUAAUACGGAGGGUGCAAGCGUUAUCCGGAUUCACUGGGUUUAAAGGGUGCGUAGGUGGGUCUGUAAGUCAGUGGUGAAAUCUCCAAGCUUAACUUGGAAACUGCCGUUGAUACUAUAGAUCUUGAAUGCUGUGGAGGUGAGCGGAAUAUGUCAUGUAGCGGUGAAAUGCUUAGAUAUGACAUAGAACACCAAUUGCGAAGGCAGCUCACUACCCAGAUAUUGACACUGAGGCACGAAAGCGUGGGGAUCAAACAGGAUUAGAUACCCCGGUAGUCC
rnacentral:rRNA from 1 species